GUCGUGUGGGUUGCCAUCAGAGAGGCCUCAGCACUGGGCCUGUGUCUACUCUGGAACGUUCUUCCUGAGCGUCACCAUGCACAUAUACCUCAUGUAGAGGGAAGAGCCUUUCCCAGGUUUCUUUACCGGAGCAGCUGCCGACAGUGGAUGAACAGUGCCUUCUCCCCAAGGUCCCAUGUUCCGGGGUCUCUGAGGUCGCUAUUUUGAGUGCUGAGAUCUUGGUUUCUACUGAUUUUGACCUCCUUUAACAUUACUCGCAGCAGUUCCCUGCUUCCUCCAGGCCAGAGUGACCACUGGUGUUUUCUGUGACUGGCAGUCCUGGCUGAGAAGGAGAAGCCAACUGCUGAAGGUCAGACAGGGUUGGUAACAAGAUGAUCUGUGACUCUUUCUUCACUUCAAAACCCUUGGACACCCCCACCCACCACUCUGCACAAUGUCUCUCUAGUAAGAGAGAAAGCUGGAAGACGAGCUCUAGGUAGCACAGCCACCAGUCACCAUGAUGCUCUAGAAUCGGCAGUCAUUACUGUGAGAAGUUGCUUUGGAUUCCCCAUCAUGAAUAGUGCCGCAGAAGGGAGAAGUCAGCUCUGGACACGAGUCCCCACUGCGCUCAUCUCCCUCAUAAAGGGGGCCAGCAUUGCAGUGUUUGGCUUUCUUCUUUUGCACAUGAGGUGGCAAGUGGUCAAGAAGAAGGGGAUACUGUAAUUUGAGGGCUGUCUUGGAUCAUCACGGUUAUAGAGCUCGUGGGUCCAGUGGUAAGAGCAGGUCCUGCUCAGGCAGAGUCCAAGGGAAGGUGACAACAGAGGAGACUGGAGCAGUGCCUGGGGAAAAGGAAGUGAAGAGUGACAGGCCAAGUGUUGCACCACAGAUCAGUCUUUAAGCUGGAAUGGGGAUCAGGACCCCUGCUGUAUGUCCCUUCAAAGAGCCGUGACUUUCACCAGCCAGCCAACCAACAAAACAACUACCAUUGUUUUGUGCUUCAUCCAUUAUCUAAUUUAAUCCUUACAACACCACUGUGAGGCUUAACUUUGGGAGCCCACCUGCAUCACCACCUCGUAGAAUAAAUUUAACUGGACUGAUCUAUUACCAGGACUAAGAAAUGUGUUUGGUGAGAUGAAACAAUGUACCACUCAGCUUCUGGACUAUGAAACUUCUUAAAGUUUCAAAGGACUGUGAAACUUAAAUUUCAAAGGUGGGACUGGAAUUGACCACCCCAAGAUAUGUCUCUUUGGCAUAAGGAUUAUUUUGGGCUGGUUACUUUUAAAAACUGCAGGCAUGAGAGAAACUCUGAAAAGUAGAAGUUACCCUUUGAAAGAGACAUUUACAUCGUAAAGGACAUCUCCAUCUAUAAAGGUGUCUCCCUCUCUGUACCAGGAAGAAGGGGGGAUGACCUUAUCUCCAGAAACUCUUAUCAAUGCAGAAGGCAAGGACUCAAGUCUGCAUAAUAGCCUUACUCUUGUUGACUGUGCUUUUCUGGUAAUCUCCCAUAACUGACUCCCCCCACCCCCAACAUCCUCCUUGGUCUUUAGUUGAGGGUGGUAUUGAAGGUGAGAGCUUCUGCCAUUUUGUGAAUUGCUCAGUUUGCCUGGGUCUCUCCCAGGUAUACACGCUAUAAAGCUUUGUUUAAUUUUCUCCUGUUAUUCUGUCUCAUGUGAAUUUAAUUUGUUUUCUGGCCAGAAGGACCCAGAGAGUAGAGGAAAUGUAUUCCUCCCCUACACUGCAAAUAUACUUUGCUUUGUGAGACAACUACUUCUGGUGGAGCGUCUGAUUGAACUUGCCAGGAGGGAACCCAGCCUGCCAGCCCCACAGUGCAGCCAGGAAGAUCCAUGUUCAAGGUGACCAAACCACUCUUUGCCUUAAAGCCUACAGGAUAAUGGGCCAGCCCUUAGCGGACAUACAAGGCCUGCCGCAGCCCGAAUCUCCAGGAAUGAAACUGAGAAUUUCAGUGAGGCACCUGUCUCCUCAGUUCAAGACUGCAUCGCUCAGCUUCCCUUGCCGCUGGCUGUGGCUUGGGAUAAAGUUUUAGCCAAUGGGGUGUGAGUGGAGGGAAUGUGUGCCACUUCUGGCUUCCCGGGCCUCAGUGUCUGCAUCUGAAGAAUGGGGACGAAUGAUUCCAGUCCUAACCAUUUCAUAGUAUUCUGAACAAGAACCGACUGAG
rnacentral:lncRNA from 1 species